GCUGCCUUGAUCUUGAGCCACCCGACGACGGCUUUCCCAGGUGGGCGGGCACGGUCAUCCCCAAAGUUGAAGUUGGGGGGAGUUGAUGGCAUGUAGUUAGGAAAUGCGAAGCCGUCUUCCGUCAGGUUGGUUGACGCGCCACCCAUGCUCAAAAUCCGCAACAUCUGUUGCAUCUCUUCGUUCUCCAAUAUCUCGUGGCUCCGCAUCCUGAUCUCCUCCAUCAGGUAGUCGUCAACCCCACUCCGGUUCUCCUGCGGUUGCGACCAGUCAUCGAAAGGAUUCAAGCCGGUGGGCUGCAUGGACUGGCCACCUAGUGCUGAGAAUUCAAAAUUUUGCUGAUGUUGUUGCUGUGGUGGUCCCAAUGCCAGUAUAUUGGAGCCCCUAGAAACUUGAUUCUGCAGUGCGGAACCAUUGAACUGGCUUUCAGGUGUCAGUGAACUCCGCUCAUAUUGUGUAGUGACGUUUGCAGGUAUGCUUUGAGAAUUGACUGCAUAUCGUCCUGCCUGAUUUCCAUUGUAUGCACUUGUAGAUCCAUCUGCUGAAAAGACCAAAGGAAUUCAGUAGCGCAAUGUAUUAGUAAU
rnacentral:sRNA from 1 species